rnacentral:rRNA from 1 species
GCAAGUCGAGCGACGCAUUCCUUAGCCCGUAAGGGCGGGUUUGACGGAGCGGCGAACGGGUGCGUAACACGUGACCAAUCUGCCCCGAAGACCGGGAUAGCCCGGGGAAACCCGGAUUAAUACCGGAUGACCUCAUCAUCACGCAUGUGGAGAUGAGCAAAGGUUCAGGCGCUUCGGGAUGAGGUCGCGGCCCAUCAGCUUGUUGGUGAGGUAACGGCUCACCAAGGCAAUGACGGGUAGCUGGUCUGAGAGGACGAUCAGCCACACUGGAACUGAGAUACGGUCCAGACUCCUACGGGAGGCAGCAGGAGGGAAUCUUGCGCAAUGGGCGAAAGCCUGACGCAGCGACGCCGCGUGGGGGAUGAAUGCCUUAAGGUUGUAAACCCCUUUCACGAGGGAAGAAACUGACGGUACCUCGAGAAGAAGCCCCGGCCAACUACGUGCCAGCAACCGCGGUAAUACCUACGGGGAUACCGAUGACCAGAUUAAUUGGGCGAACCCGGCUCAUACGCCGG